GGCAGGAUGACCGAGCGGUUAAGGUGGUAGGUUCAAGUUCUACUGGGGGCAACCCCGCCAGGUUCGAAUCCCUGUCCUGUCA
rnacentral:tRNA from 1 species